rnacentral:lncRNA from 1 species
UAAACUUUUCUUUCUUUUAGCUAGGGUAAGGCAAAGACAAGAUUCGUUUAGGUUUUGAAUUUUAAAAUAUAUAAAAUUAAUUAAAAUACAUGAAAACUGGUCGAACAUUCACAUUGUUAAUUAUAGCACCUUCAGCUGGUCUUUUCUGGACACAAGCAGGCAUGGCACUGUACUGCAUUGCAGCCACCUCCCGGUAGCUUCUCGACGAGCACAACAGGGCUAGAACCGGCUCCUUCAACAUUCACUUCCUUACCUGAAUAUUGGCUUCAACAACACACACCAAUAUGAUCAUACCAUGCAAAAUAUUUCCAACAAGUGUGUUAGUCAUAUGUAGCUCUACGUUUAACAAAAUCACAAUGAUUUUGUAUUGAUUUUAGAACAGAUUUCGACGGUGAAACUCUCUGUCGAACACCUGAAAUCUUUGCUGCAUAAUUAUAUCAGCAAGCAGGAUUCAAGGUUACAAUACAAAACGAAACCACAAAAUGUCACCUUACUAAAUUACAACUGUGUGUAAUGCGCUCAUAUGACUUAAGAUUACCAAUCCCAUUUCAGAGACAGACUACACUGGCCAUUUAUGAUGAUGGGUUCAUUUCUAAAUUCAUCGUAUUCGUGUUUCUCCGACUAAGGAAAAAAGAAAUCACUUUGGAAACAAAAACCCAUCAAGAGGGUCUCUGGAUAACAACCUAAAAGGCCUGAAGAACAGAGAUUUUAUAGCAAAAACAAGUCUUGGAUGCACUCCAAGUACACAAAACCUACCGAUCUGAAGCUGCUUUUCUAACCAUAGCAUUACAAGAGCAUAAAAAAGAAAAGGAAAAAAGAAAUCACUUUGGAAACAAAAACCCAUCAAGAGGGUUUCUGGAUAACAACCUAAACCUAAAAGGCCUGAAGAACAGAGAUUUUAUAGCAAAAACAAGUCUUGGAUGCACUCCAAGUACACAAAACCUACCGAUCUGAAGCUGCUUUUCUAAACCAUAGCAUUACAAGAGCAUACAAAAGAAAAGGAAAGAAAAGGUUGCCUGUAGUAAGACGAUCAGUAGCAGAAUUAAGUUGGCCUUGGCUGUUGAGAGUGUCUUGAGCUUUAGAAUCGAAAUCCUUAAUCACAGUGGC